GACAUCCAUCAGCACUGGCCAAUACGACCGGCCAGCCGCAUCAUCGGUAUGUUUGCCACAACUUAGUAAUUAGAAAUCAGUUCCGUCCGUGUUUUGUUGGUUCAAGUGCCCUUUUUCAAUGAAAUUUAUUUUGUGAUGAAUCGAUCUGGUCAUAUUCUGACAGAAUAUAAAAAAUCUGAUGUAACAAUCUGGCCACAUCCUUCUACUCUUAUUGAUUGAUCUGAUUAAUAUUUUUUUUGCAAUUCGAUGUACAAAUCAAUCUAGCUGAUUUUUAUAGUUCAUCCCAGUAAGUGAAAUAUUAUUCUCACAAGGUGUUCGACUAAUUUCGGAGUUGAUUUUAAGAUCCCUAAGUGGUUUCAACUGCAAACUAAUUUAGGUCCUGUAGUGAUUUGUCAAUGGCGUACUACCGAAGUGCUUCUAGCGAUAGCAACAUGCACGUACAAGUGCUUUGAAGCAGGCAUAUCGAUGGAUUUUUGGGAGGAAGAAGCUAGCAAGAUAAACUUUCGGCCUUAGCUCACAUGUAUAUUCUGAGAAUUUUCUUCUCCGUUGAACAAUUUAUGUCCUUCUGCAGAUGGCUAAUCAUCGGAACUAUGAGAAAGUAGGCCAUUGUUUACAAACUCAAGGAUUCAGUGAUGUUGAAGCUAAAAGCUGGACUUCACUGCCCUCUGCUCCUCAAUUCAGCCGCCGUUGCCCGCUGCUCCUCAAUUCAGCCGCUGCUGCCGCCACGUUGAGGCCCUCGCCACUAAGCCGGUGAACUUGGAUCAGGUGUGAACUUUGAUCAUGUUUUUCUUUACCUUAACAUCAAGCCGUCGGCUGGGUUUAGGAAGGUAGCUCACGGGACAAACAUUGGUGGCUCACACUCAAUUAUUAAGAGCACCAUAAUUGGAAAAUAUGCACUUGCUAAAACAAAAUUAAUAAUGACAAAAACUAUGAACAUCAGUCAAAGUUCAUGGUCAGAUUCCUCAUCACAGAUUUGGGUCAAAAGUCAAAAAUGCAAGGGAGUAACAACAAAAAAACACGACUUCAAUUGUGCUCCUGUUGGUUAAUAUACCGAGUAAAAAUAAAUAGAACAACCUAUAAUAUAGAGCUUAUGUGCUUUGCACGAAACUGAAUGCAUGGCACUGAACAUAUCUCUAAUCUAUUAUAUGUUAUAUAAGAAAGCACAUAAUUGGGAGGACUGAAAUCCAGCUUGGUUAAACGAAAUAAAUUGGCAACAUAAUUUGGGAGGUGCCUAUCUUUUGUAGCAACGAAGUAAGAUAGUCGACAAGUUCUGGAUCAACAAGACCCUGAGCAUGUCUUGACCCCUAAAUGGAUUACUGCAAGCCUUACUCAAAUGAUAAUAAUAAAAGGUAGACUCGGCUCCUCCACUCAUGCUUCUCUGAAUACAAUGUAAAUUUCAGAACAUGGCUCUCUGAAUUUCUACAACCUAAAUUUAGUACAUGCUUCUUUGAAUGUUGGCCAGCCAAUCGGUACUGUAUUGCAGACUUCAGAGAAUUGUAUGCAUGCCCUUUAUGCCAAUGGAUUACUGCAUUUUUAUGUUAGGUUUUACACUAUUUGAAUGUAAGGACUAUAUAGUAUCUCUUUGGCAAUCUAUGGCAAGUCAUUUUCUGCACAUAAAAUUCAGUGCAUGCUUCUCUGAAUAUCUGCAAUACAAGUGAGCAAAAUUCGUUCUUACAUGUUGUCCUGCCAAUUGGUAUUGGCAGCCUUGCAUACAUGUUUUUAAAAUGCUUAAUCCAAGUGCCACUUCUGUACUAAAUAAGCUGAACUUUAUUUUAUAAAUAACUAAAUGUUGGUUUGCUGACGUCUUCUUGUGAUUGAAUUCUGGAACUUACAUUGUCCGUUUGCAACAUUACAUACGGCCAUGCUUUGCAAGACGUUCUAUAUAUAGGCUCUUUUGUACGUGAUAAAAAAAUUUGGACACAUAUUUGUUACUCCCUCCGUCCCAUAUUUGUCAAAAACGCUCUUAUAUUAUGGGACGGAGGGAGUAGAACUAUGAGUUCACCAUAUACUAUGAAAAUUCAUCAACUUGGGAUUAUGAAUCAUGUUUGUUUUUUGGAGAACCAUGUACUGAUUUAGAUAAAACCUCAUUAGCGAGAAAUAUUUGACUCGUAGGGAGCUACUGUAGUUUUUCCUGCUUUUCCAAUUAUUCUGUUGUUACUUCGUUCAUAGCUAUGGAAUGGAUCCUUCUACCAUUGCCAGUUCAGCUAUACCAGGUACACUCUGAUGCUUGUUCAUGGAAUUUUGGUAACAAUAUGAACUGUGAUAUGUUCUGAAACAUAAACUGAGAGGCAAACUUAUAUUAUGUUUAACAGGUUUGGCUGUUGUUCCUCUAUACAACUUUAUCUUUUAGUAUCGACCAAUACCUCAUAUCCCAUUUGAAGGGAAUAUUGUGAUGCUCUAGGACUUUAUGUUAUUUUACCAUACAAUCCGAUAAAAAUGAUGCUCUUCUUCAAUGCCUGUCUAUCCACCUCCGACGUGUUGUUUGUUGGCUGUUCUUGUUAUGCUUUUUUCUGUUCGUUUCAAAGUUAUUAACUCAUUAGGCAUAUAAGUACCAAUAAUGCAAGUUUUUUUGGGUCAUUUGGAACUUAGCAAAAGUUCAUUUUAUUCUAAAGGUGAGUAUGGAAUCAUCCGACAUCCUGGUGGCUCUUGUAAGUCUCAAAUGGGAGAUUAAGGGACAAGUUGAUUGUUCACACAAGGUAGGUGUACUUUUAGGCCUCUGGUUUGUUCUAAACAUGUAAGUUCGGGCUUAGCCUAUACUCUUUUCACAGAGAGUUGCCGAGUUGUUUCUGUGCCAGGCUGUGAUGCAAGGUUUUGCCAUGUUGCUGAAAAGAUAUCAAUGUCGAAGACUAUAUACAACUUUGUAGUCGUCUGCUCAAAUUUUAGUCAAAAUAGAUAUUUGUAAGUUGAAAAUUUAUUUUUGGCAGGCUAAAAUAAUGGAGGUUGUGUGGGAAGAGAUUGUUGUUGUUUAAGGCUAACUAUUGUUGUUCUGUCACUUCCCCUUUCUCUUGCUGGUAUGUGGUUAUCCAUAUGAUAGCUGGGAUUGAAUAUGCAACAUGCAACUACCUUGUCUUCAUAAUUCACUAUUCAUCUUGAUACAUGAUGAUAUACUCAAAUUUUUGUUUUACUUGGAUAAUAGUACCUGUCAUUUUAUUUAGAAUAGUAGCAGGCCAUUUAUUUAGAAUACUACUAGGUCAUUUAUUUAAUUUAAUGCGUACAUUACAGUAUUCCUUUGAAUGCUAGCCAAACUUGUAGGUGAGUUAGAAACCUACUUCUAAGUUCUGGGAUGUCCGCCAAGCAACCAAACUUGUGUUGGGAGUGUCAUUCUGGUUGGCCUUCCACCAGAAGAAAAUCGCCAUGGACACCCCAAGUCGGUUGUUCCUCUACUCCAUAGAGAUGUGUCACUCACCGCCGUUGGCACUUAACUAACGACGGCGUCAAAAUAGAAAGAUGAAAAGUUGGACUUGUAAGAGAAUAGUCAUAUUACUACAAUAGAUGUAGAUCUUGAGCAUAUCGAAAGAUUAAAUUGUAAUUUGUAACAGGAAUGCAAUAGCAUUUUG
rnacentral:lncRNA from 1 species